GCCAGGUGUGGUGGUGUAUGCUUGUAAUCCAGCUACUCAGGAGGCUGAGAUGGAAGGAUCAUGAGUCAAGGCCAGCCUUGUAACAUGUGAAACCCCAUCUCAA
rnacentral:sRNA from 1 species